GAUGAAGAACGUAGCGAAACGCGAUAAGUAAUGUGAAUUGCAGAAUUUAGUGAAUCAUCGAAUCUUUGAACGCACAUUGCGCCCUUUGGUAUUCCGAAGGGCAUGCCUGUUCGAGCGUCAUUAUCACCCCUCAAGCCCCGGCUUGGUGUUGGGCUCUCGGUGGUCGUCUCCGACCACCCGUCUCAAAGAUAGUGACGGCGUCCCAGAGGGAAUCGGUACGAGGAGCUUUCACGAGCAUGUACGCGGGACGACUCUGCGGGCGACGGUCUUAUUUACUUUAUAUACAAGUGUUGACCUCGGAUCAGGUAGGAAUACCCGCUGAACUUAAGCAUAUCAAUAAGCGGAGGA
rnacentral:misc_RNA from 1 species